CGCGUAGGCGGUCGUUUAAGUCAGGUGUGAAAGCCCCCCGGCUCAACUGGGGGAGUUGCAUCUGAUACUGGGUGACUAGAGUGCAGGAGAGGAAAGUGGAAUUCCGAGUGUAGCGGUGAAAUGCGUAGAUAUUCGGAGGAACACCAGUGGCGAAGGCGGCUUUCUGGACUGCAACUGACGCUGAGGCGCGAAAGCUGGGGGAGCGAACGGGAUUAGAUACCCCGGUAGUCCCGGCCGUAAACGAUGGAUGCUAGGUGUGGGGGGUAUCGACCCCUUCCGUGCCGCAGUUAACACAAUAAGCAUCCCGCCUGGGGAGUACGGCCGCAAGGUUGAA
rnacentral:rRNA from 1 species